UCUCCUAUAACUCAGUUGGUAGAGCGUGCGGGUGUUAAACCUCCAGGGGCGCUGGGUCCAAACCCCAGCUGGGAGAG